rnacentral:lncRNA from 1 species
CUUGGUAGCAGCAGACAGCACACGUACAUCUGUCUUAACGAAAUGGCAUCAUGUGGCAGGCACAGAAGCGAUGGCAGGAGAAGAUGAAGGGCCUGCUGGAGGAGUGAACACAUCCCACAUUUCUUUAUCCAUGAUUAGAAUCAGGACCGGCACUUGGUACUCAGUAAGCGCCAAGAUUUUCUUGGACAAAUUCAAGGUCUUCUCUCAAUUGUGGUCGGAACUGGACAUUCCCACGAGGACAGUUUCCACUUCCAGUAAUGGCUGAGGAGGUCCUAUUGCAAAUAAUAAUGAGAAACUCUGGACCAAGUAUUUUAGAACCACCACCUGAAAGUAUUGGAGAGUAAGUAAGAGCAGCCCCAGGGCAAGGCCAGGGCUGAGCCCCAGGAGUCCAGGCAGAAUCCAAGGGAUUUCCCUUUUAAGUCUGCAGAAUGUGGGGACUGUCACAUUGAGGCCAUGUUUUCUCCAG